GAUGAACGCUGGCGGCGUGCCUAAUACAUGCAAGUCGAGCGAACGGACGAGAAGCUUGCUUCUCUGAUGUUAGCGGCGGACGGGUGAGUAACACGUGGAUAACCUACCUAUAAGACUGGGAUAACUUCGGGAAACCGGAGCUAAUACCGGAUAAUAUUUUGAACCGCAUGGUUCAAAAGUGAAAGACGGUCUUGCUGUCACUUAUAGAUGGAUCCGCGCGGCAUUAGCUAGUUGGUAAGGUAACGGCUUACCAAGGCAACGAUGCAUAGCCGACCUGAGAGGGUGAUCGGCCACACUGGAACGGAGACACGGUCCAGACUCCUACGGGAGGCAGCAGUAGGGAAUCUUCCGCAAUGGGCGAAAGCCUGACGGAGCAACGCCGCGUGAGUGAUGAAGGUCUUCGGAUCGUAAAACUCUGUUAUUAGGGAAGAACAUAUGUGUAAGUAACUGUGCACAUCUUGACGGUACCUAAUCAGAAAGCCACGGCUAACUACGUG
rnacentral:rRNA from 1 species